rnacentral:lncRNA from 1 species
ACCAAAGGAAAAUUUCUGUUUAGUUCUGCAAUGAAAAAUAGCUACAGGAUUCUUUUACUUGGUUAGCACAUAAAACAUUGUUUAAAAAGUUUGGCAAUGUAGACCUUAUUAAAACAAAAAUAAAGUUGAAGUUGAUUUGCAAUAUGGAGUUGUGCGACUGUUGAAAUCAUUGAUGAGGUUAAUGACUAUUGGUUAAAUUAAGCUCACUAUGCUUGCUUUUGAGCCUUGGGAAUUCUUUACGCUGUCAUGCCAACAUAUUUUGCUUGUUACAGAGAUAAAUUGCUUAUACUGAAACAUAUGCUGGGCAUUUUAUUGGUAUAGUCUUCUGAUCCCAAAUGCAAUAAGUUUUGGUGGGGAAGUCAUGAGGAUGCCUAAUUUUUUUAUGCUAAUUUUGUUGUUACAUGAUUGUGUCAGAAUUAUUCUUGUUUUAAGUCGAC